GAUGAAGAACGUAGCGAAAUGCGAUACUUGGUGUGAAUUGCAGAAUCCCGUGAACCAUCGAGUCUUUGAACGCAAGUUGCGCCUCAAGCCAUUAGGUUGAGGGCACGUCUGCCUGGGCGUCACAUAUCGUUGCCUGAUGCCAGUUUCCUCGUGAUGGGUGACUGUGCAGGGCGAAUGAUGGCUUCCCGUGAGCAUUGUUGCCUCAUGGUUGGUUGAAAAUUGAGUCCUUGGUAGGGAGCGCCGUGAUAAAUGGUGGUUGAGUGACGAACGAGACCCAAUCAUGUGAGACCCCUACCGAAUUUGGCCUUCAUGACCCACAUGCGUCUUUGGAACGCUCAUGACGAGACCUCAGGUCAGGCGGGGCUACCCGCUGAGUUUAAGCAUAUCAAUAAGCGGAAGGA
rnacentral:misc_RNA from 1 species